rnacentral:rRNA from 1 species
UACGGAGGGUGCAAGCGUUAAUCGGAUUUAUUGGGCGUAAAGGGGGCGUAGGCGGACCUGUAGGUCAAACGUGAAAUUUCGCAGCUCAACUGCGAAACCGCGCUUGAAACCACUGGUCUUGAGUAUUGGCGGAGGAAACGGAAUUCCAUGUGUAGCGGUGAAAUGCGUAGAUACAUGGAGGAACACCCGUGGCGAAGGCGGUUUCCUAGCUUUGUCUGACGCUGAGGCCCGAAAGCCGGGGGAGCGAACAGG